rnacentral:misc_RNA from 1 species
UAGCUCUGCUCGUGUGUUGUUUCGUCUCCGAUCAUAGCGACUACAUCAAUCCAUCUUUCAAAGGCCGGAGGGGUAGCUGGACAGCAGUCUUGCACCCUUGCGGCGCUCUGAAAAUUCAGACUAGCGCGAACGUGGACGAAAAUGAUGAGCAGUGAUGAGGCAUCAGAUCAUUACAACAAGAAAGUCGUUUCCAUGCCCAUUGCAAAAACACAACCAUGACAACACUGGUCUCAAAGAACAGCUGGGCAUCGAAGGCAAGUUUUGUCUUCCUCCAUCAUUCGCGACAAUACCUGAGGGCUCCGUUCCGCCACGCAUGCACGGGCUUUUUGAUUCUGUUCAUCUAUCUGACAGUAUUGGUUUCCUGGGAGAAAAGCUCUGCUCAUUAUGAGGGGCUUCGACCCAUGCCAGAGGAGAUCUGCGCUCUUCACACGGCCCCUGGUGUUACUCAUAGCGGCUUUAACGAGACGCCUGUGGAUAGCACUGUGCUGAUGCUGUACUCGCCGGACGAUGCUGGGGAGCGGUUCUGCUACAGCGACGCGACGGUCGGGGGCAGCGGCGUGGAGCGGGAGUUCCUGCGCGUGGCGGCGUCGUACGUGGCGUCGCCGCACGAGGGGCCGAGGAGCGCGUACUACGACUUCUUCGCUGCGCACAACGCGACGCUGUGGACCGUGGACAGCGCGACGCGCGUUGCGACGCCGAUGCAGCUGGACAUUGUGUACACGUUCGUGAACCCGAGGGCGCCGUCGUUCUGGCGCAACCUUGAGGCGCGGCACGUGCGGUUCGAGCAGCGGCGGUACCGCGACUGGGAGGAGCUGCGGUACUCGCUGCGGUCGCUGCGCGAGUUCGUGCUUGCGAGCGGCGCGCUUGCGCAGUACCACCACCGCCACGCUGCGGACGUGCGGCGGCUGGGUGAGCUUGGGUACCAGGUGAACAUGAGCGACGCUGGCGCGGCAGAUGGGGUUGUGUCGCUGGUGCGGCGCGUGUACCUUGUGCUCUCUGACAGGGACCAGGUGCCUGCGUGGCUUGACACGGAGAGGUUCCCGGAGCUGCGCGUGGUGACGCAUGCGGAUAUGUUCAGCGCUGAUGAGGCGGCGUGGGUGCUGCCGACGCUGAACUCGAACGUGAUAGAGUCCGGGCUGCAUCGCAUUCCGGGCAUCUCGCGCUUUUUCCUCUACAUGGCAAACGACAUGAUGCUGGGACGGCAAGUCUCCUUCUUCGACCUGUUCCGCCCUCUGUCGCCGCUUCGCCAGCGUCUACACGUGUACCAUCUCAGUCGGGGCAGCGAGGGGUCGACAAACGCUUCACUCGCGUCGAAUGGGACCGGACGCGUCGCAUUGCUGCUGGAGCCGGUGGUCCACAGCGACACGCAGUACAUGGAGGCGAAGGGAGAGAUGACCAGCUCGGAGCGAGUGCAGGUCAUGCGUGCCCGCGAGGCAGUCAGCAGCUGCAUGCUUCAGCAGGUGCUCCCCGUUCUGUAUGCGAAGGGGCGCAGUGGCGAGUGGCUGGAAAAGGCAGUCCUCUUGCCCUCAUGGGCGACGACGCGGGCGUUUGCGUUGCCCGAUCCGCAUUAUGACGUGACGCCGCGUGGAUGCGGCGUGAGUAGCCAUUACUACUACCAUUUAUCGUCGAUUCGUCUCGAAGGCAUCGGACUCCCAUUUGGGUAUGCCCAUAGCCCGCAGCUGGUGGACGUUGAGGUGUACCGGCGUCUGAAUGAGGUGGAGCUCUUCGACUUCACCAACACCACCCGCGCCGCGUACGAACGCGAGAUGCACCCGUACUCCCCUAUCGAUGAGUAUGCAGUCUUUGAGGUGGCGAUGAUGCGUGGGAUGGAGCGGCACCUGUGGAGCUCUGUGUGGCGCGCCGCGCCGGCCGACGCGUUCACGGACGUGCGCGACACGCUCGAGUCUUGGUGGGCUGCCAACGUUCUAAGCGACCCGAUGGACGCUGCUCGACGUGUGUCGUGGCGUCUGUCUAGCGGCAGCGCGGACAUGUCGAUGUUUGGCGCGCUGUACGGCGACACUUGGGGCGUGCAGCUGCAGCGGCCGGACCUUGCCAUGGAGCUUGGGUACUGGUGGGUGCGCGGUGCGGUGCGGCCGUUGCGGCCGAGCCGACGGCUUGCAGCGCUGAAGAAGCUGUACGCGAUCCCUGAGGUGGGGACUGGCGACACGUGCGGCAGCGAGUCGCCGUUGUGGGCGGCGAGGAGCGACGACCACUACUACAGCCUGCUAUACGACAUGUUCCACCACACGCGGCACGACGAGACGUUUCUGUUCGAGAUGAUUUAUAGCGACAUGAAGGCUCUGCUGCUUGCGGCGCGCCUAAGGUACGAGUGGCUGAGGCAUCCGCUGUUCAUGGGCUUCAACGACAACAUUUUAGACGACGCCAACCACACAGAGGUCCGGAUAGCUUUUCACAGGCUUCUGAGCAUAGCGAUCCAGAACGCACCGCCGGCCCCGUGGGAACUUUAAAAACCUGUGGGUGGCGGGUGCAACGAAGGGAUAGGAAGCCCAUGCCAGCGUGGAUCUGGUGAGCGUUGUAGAAGAGACAGCGAUAAAAGGCCGCCUACCCGCCUUUGCACCACGCUACUAACAACGACAAAAUUUUCUCCUUGUGUUAUUCGCCAUGAUGGCGACAUUCCUGUUCCUUUCCUUUUGUUCGUACAG